CGGACACAAACCACGGCAGCUUGUUGUAGAGUAUUAUACCUACACUGAACCACCACGAAUAUAGAAUACUACCUAUCAUUGAAUCACCAUGUUUGAGAUAUCUUUUUCAGAUAGUUCGGGCACACACUACGGGAGGAUAUCUAAUACCCAUGCACACUAAACCAUGCACUGGCCGCACGUUUGAGAUAAAACUUACCUCACUCAUCACGGAAAGAAUGAGUAUCAGCCCAAGGCCAAGAACUUUACCCAAGCUGCAAGAUGCCAUUGUCACAAUCGAUUUGUCUUUGUAAAAAACCCGUUGAAUUCUGAAUUGACGUUGCCUUCUACAGUGUGUUCAAAAGCAAUGACCCAAUAUAUUCCGGCGUUUUUAUUUCAUUACCAUGUGGAAACUCUGUAUUGCACCUUUUUGCAGACAUGAAAGAGUACAGUAUAAUUAUAAAUUUAAUUGAUCUUCUCUUUAAGAACUUUAAGUGGUUAUGAUGAGCCAUUAAUGGUUAAAAGGUAUUUAAUACCCUUUCCAUGCAGCCAUAAAAUUUUAAAGGCUAAAGAAAUUUUAGAUCACAUUAAUCAUUAUGGUUGUUUUUUCAAAGAAAGCCCUUCACCAUAGCCCGCUCCACAUGUUCGUCUGACAUCAUUGACAUUACAUUGCUAGGUGCACAUAAUUGGUGAUGAUGGAAGAUGUUGGACAGUUUUGACUUUUUUUAAUGUGAACUUGUACAUAUAUUAUUGCGAGCCAAGUUGGCAAGACGUUUUGUAAAAAUUAUGUGGUAUUGUAUAUAAUGCAAAAUAACUUUCUUCCUAAUUUACGAAACCUCACCUUGGAGUAGAAAUAUGCAAUGAUUCCGGCGUAGGUUAAAACAAUAUCAACUGCAACCAUAGAUGGUCAGGGGCGGG